AAUAGUAGCCAUAGCGAAGGUUUGCACCUGAUACCAUUCCGAACUCAGUAGUUAAGCCCUUUAGCGCCUAAGAUAGCUGAAAAGCAAAAAUCGGGAGCUGCUUUUU
rfam:Mycoplasma synoviae 53, complete genome.